UACGGGGGGGGCAAGCGUUGUUCGGAAUUACUGGGCGUAAAGCGCGCGUAGGCGGCUUUGUAAGUUAGAGGUGAAAGCCCGGGGCUCAACCCCGGAAUUGCCUUUAAGACUGCAUCGCUUGAAUCCGGGAGAGGUGAGUGGAAUUCCGAGUGUAGAGGUGAAAUUCGUAGAUAUUCGGAAGAACACCAGUGGCGAAGGCGGCUCACUGGACCGGUAUUGACGCUGAGGUGCGAAAGCGUGGGGAGCAAACAGG
rnacentral:rRNA from 1 species